AAAAAAUACAGUUUAUAUAUCUUAUGUUGAAGCCUGAAAUGUGGCAAACGGUCGCAAAGUUCAAGGGGGCCGAAUACUUUCGCAAGGCACUGUAUCUGGACGUUGAGGACGAUGGACGAUUUAGGUGCAAGACCUGAAUUCAAUUUCCACCUACUGUGCUCCUCAACUGACACUGUCCAUUAUGAGCACUAUAGGCAUGUAAUGUGUUGUUCUUAAAGAUAUGUGUGUGUUGUGUUCAGGACCAGGUGUCUGAUGAGCGCAGUUUACCCUGUGCUGUGCUAAAAAUCAGCUGAUCCAGGCCUUCAGGCAAACCACCCACUGACACAGAGAGAGCUGGUCUAACAACCGCCAUACGAACUACUGUCAUCCGCAUCAUCCAGUCACACCCUGUCAACUCUGACCUCAGUGACAUCAAGGCCAUUCGAGCCAGAGUCCCCGACGACAUCAGCACCUUCCUCAUCCAGUUGACUGUGGAGCUGCUGCAGAGACAGGGGAUGCCCACGGCCCCACCUGCUGUUUCCACCAGCCUACAGCAGCCUGAGCUCACCUGGAUAGAACCCGAGGACAAACCGGUGAGAGAACCUUCCGUCCACAAGCCAGGGAGGAUAGAAAAAGACCCAGUCCAGCCAGCCCCAGUGGAGCUAUCCCCAGCCCAGCCAGCCCCCAUCAAGCUAUCCCCAGCCCAGCCAGACCCCAUCAAGCUAUCUCCACCCCAACCGGUUGGUUUGUUAGCAGUCGGACUCCCAGACGAGAUGGAGAUGAGUAUGGAAGAGGAUGACCUGUUCAGGGAUCUUCCAAUGCCAGAGGAAGUGGGUCCCGUCCUAGAGUAUGUCCUUGCACCUAAGGCUCUUACUGCAGCCGCCAAGGCUGUCCCCCAGACCAGUGCAGUGAAGCUGGCAUCCUGGAACCAGGAGCCACUGGAUGAGGACACACAGGAACUCUUCAGUGACUCCCCUCAGAAUGUCAGCCAGCCGGCGAAGAGAAAACUACCAGACUGGGCUGAACUACCAAGAGGUUCAAGUUCUUUGGCCUGUACAAAGAAAACCAAAAAGAACAAAGGACUUUUUUCAUAACUGACCAACAAAUUAUUCUUACUGACCAAAUGUUUCUGAUUUUCUUUAUUACAAAAUGGCAAACAAGGUGUUGAUUUCCAACUUAACAAUGUAACAUAGCAGACUAAUUAAUGUAAAACAUGUCAUUAUGUAAAACCUCUUGUAAUAAAGAUACAACUUGAAUGUACAGUAUUUUAGAGGAAAUCAUUGGGUAGAAUGAUUGAGUCAUGGAGUAAUCUAAUUUCUUAAUGAGUUGCAUCUUGUUAAAUUAGUACCCGUAAGUGAGAAGUAUCUAAUGUAACUGUGCCAAGUUGACAAGAUAAUUAUUAGUAUGUUGUAAAAGAUAUAACUCAUUAACAUAUGUAUCAUUGGUAAAAUGACCUUUUCACAGAGAUCGUUCAGUUUGUUGCUGAGCUAAGGUAUUUGUCAUUCAUUCAAGUCCUGUACAGACCUUCAAUAAUUACAUUUUAAGGUUAAGAGAUUAGCAAAUACAGGGCUUUUACAUCCAUGUGAACAUUUUAAUCCUGGUUCAGAUUAGUGUGUCUGCAGACACUACUUUCUAUGGAGAGUAACUGGCAAGACUUAAUGUGUCACAGUUUGAUCCUGGUGGGAAGAGAACUGUACCAAUUAUAAGACUAUCAAAUGCUGAUUUCCUGUUCUGGAGGCUCUUUUAAAGUUUGAGACCUGACCAUUUUUAAAAACAGGAGAGGUUCAGAGUAGAUCUGAUCACUUAAUGUUUCCAGAUUAUAGUGGUUCUCUUUGCUUCACAUUUUGCCUGGAUAAAAGACAUCACAGUUCAUAGUGAGUCUUGCAGUAAAGCCACGAUGUGAAUCUGUGCAUUGGCCAGUACUACUGCAGUUAUUAUGACAUCUACAUUUGCUGCAUGUGAAUCCGUGCAUUGGCCAGUACUACUGCAGUUAUUAUGACAUCUACAUUUGCUCAACUAUGCAAUGUCUAGCUAAACUAAACAAAAGUCCUCUCAAUCAAGCUCUAACAUAAAUGAUUAUAUACUGUAUGCAUGGUUUAUUUUUUAAUAUCAACUGUAUUUGAGCAUGUAUUUUUGUAGAAAAUUAUGCAUUUAACUUUUUGUUGAGGGUAACAAAAAUAAAAUCCACCCUCUUCUUGGAAACACA
ensembl:lncRNA